rnacentral:rRNA from 1 species
AUUGAACGCUGGCGGAAUGCUUUACACAUGCAAGUCGAACGGCAGCACGGACUUCGGUCUGGUGGCGAGUGGCGAACGGGUGAGUAAUAUAUCGGAACGUGCCCAGUCGUGGGGGAUAACGUAGUGAAAAUUACGCUAAUACCGCAUACGAUCUAUGGAUGAAAGCGGGGGACCUUUGGGCCUUGCGCGAUUGGAGCGGCCGAUAUCAGAUUAGGUAGUUGGUGGGGUAAAGGCUCACCAAGCCAACGAUCUGUAGCUGGUCUGAGAGGACGACUAGCCACACUGGGACUGAGACACGGCCCAGACUCCUACGGGAGGCAGCAGUGGGGAAUUUUGGACAAUGGACGCAAGUCUGAUCCAGCCAUUCCGCGUGCAGGACGAAGGCCUUCGGGUUGUAAACUGCUUUUGUACAGAACGAAAAGGUUUCUACUAAUACUAGGAGCUCAUGACGGUACUGUAAGAAUAAGCACCGGCUAACUACGUGCCAGCAGCCGCAGUAA